UUAACUCGAAUUUGUAUGCAGUUGGCACAGCGCCUCUAGCGGCAAACGUAGGCAAACGUUCCAACUCCAUACGAAUUUGCGUUA
rnacentral:pre_miRNA from 1 species